rnacentral:rRNA from 1 species
CAAUAGCGUAUAUUUAAGUUGCUGCAGUUAAAAAGCUCGUAGUUGGAUUUCGGGUGGGAAUGGCCGGUCCGCCGUUUCGGUGUGCACUUGCUACGCCCACCUUGCUGCCGGGGACGUGCUCUUGAGUUCACGCUCGGGACACGGAGUCGGCGAGGUUACUUUGAGUAAAUUAGAGUGUUCAAAGCAUGCCUACGCUCUGAAUACAUUAGCAUGGAAUAACACGAUAGGACUCUGGCCUAUCUUGUUGGUCUGUAGGACCGGAGUAAUGAUUAAGAGGGACAGUCGGGGGCAUUCGUAUUUCAUUGUCAGAGGUGAAAUUCUUGGAUUUAUGAAAGACGAACUACUGCGAAAGCAUUUGCCAAGGAUGUUUUCAUUAA